AACUUUUUCCAGAAGAAUCAUUGAACCAAUCUCAAAGGACUGUCAACCUGACUUCAGGAUCCCAGGUGCUCUAUAGAUGGAAUUUCAUUUUCUGAUCCCAGAUGUUAAUUGCUUACUAGGUGAGGAUAGUUUGGUUCCUUUAGCUGCAUACCAGUGGCAAAACAAAUGUUCUUCAGCAGGAGGACAGGAAAAAAUUCAGAUGGGUAGCGUGGGAGUCACUUGGAUGAGCAAUCUUGGUACGGAAGGAGGAUCUUGUUUAACUCCAUAGUUUUCUUGCAUUUCAUGUGAAGGCUUCACUACCUUUAAGAUUAGCUAAGAAACAAAACCCAAUGCUUUCUUU
rnacentral:lncRNA from 1 species